rnacentral:misc_RNA from 1 species
UUUUCUUCAUCACAGAGAAACCCUCUUCACUACAUCUAUAUAAGAAUUAAAAACAAAUAGUUUCCUAUGAGAAAAAUACUCCAUUAAGCAAUACAAAGGGCUCAGAGAGUUGCUGUAUGUGCUCAAAGAAGAGCUUGAACAAAACAAGCUCAACUCAUACAAGAGGUGUCAGAAUUUAAAGCACUCUUCAUCUUUGCCCAUUAUUCUUCUUCAACACUUCUCAUAAGAACCAUAUAUAAACAAGAAUAACAGAUUGAGCAGAAACAAAUGAUCAAGAAGAUAAAAAGAAAUUUUCACAGAGCGGCAGCUAUGCUGAAG